rnacentral:rRNA from 1 species
UACGUAGGGACCAAGCGUUGUUCGGAUUUACUGGGCGUAAAGGGCGCGUAGGCGGCGUGUUAAGUCACUUGUGAAAUCUCUAAGCUUAACUUAGAACGGUCAAGUGAUACUGAUGUGCUAGAGUGCAGAAGGGGCAACCGGAAUUCUUGGUGUAGCGGUGAAAUGCGUAGAUAUCAAGAGGAACACCUGAGGUGAAGACGGGUUGCUGGGCUGACACUGACGCUGAGGCACGAAAGCUGGGGGAGCAAACAGG